UCACCUGCUCAUCCAUUCAGAUUUUCUGACUGUCCAUUUAGAAAGGUUGGGGCAGAUCAUCCUGCUCUCUGUCCAAGGAUUUCAUAUGACCCCAGAGGAUUUUGGUUCAUAUCCCAUUAUCAUAAUGUUAGUUUAAAAAUUGCCAGACUAUGACAUGGAUUUAGGAUAGCUUCAAACAACAGAAAUAAACCUGGUGAGUACUCUCAGUCUGCUGUAUGUAUGGGCAGACUAUGAGUUGAUGUGUAGGCAACAGUACUGUCCAACUUGUCACUGUGGGCACCCCUGUGAUGACACCCCUGUGAUGACACCCCUGUGAUGACACCCCUGUGAUGGGUGCUGUCUGAGCAGAGGUUUUGAUUAGUGACUGAACAGGUUGGUGCUUACCUUAGCCUACAAAAUAAAAUAAAAUAAAAUAAAAUAAAAUAAAAUAAAAUGAGAUGAAAUAGAUGCUUCUUGUAUUCGAGUCUUAAAAACUCCUUUUUUUGAAAAUGAUGCUCUAUUUCUCUCUGAGCAUGCAGGCUUCUCUUCCACAUAGGUUGAGGAAGUCUUGUUAAGACCCAGGCAUCACCAUCAAGUGCCUUGUAACACAGAGAGAAGAAUAGCAAAUUCAUGUGGAUGGUAAGCAGAAGGAGCAUGACAGGAAAAGGUCAAGAGAUUCUUAGAAUGUUCUAGAAUAUGUAAUAAGACCAUAGAAUGGAAAAAAGUCCCAAAGUAUACCUGAAAAAGAAGCCAAACUGUUGAUGGUUGCAGGUGAGCAUGAUUGCUUAUCUAAGAAAUGGUAUGUGGUUUACAAAAGAAGGGGGGAGGGCUAGAAGCGAUAACAAGUUCACACAGAUUCCAUAAGCAAAGGUCAAUAGAAUUUCAAACAACUCAGAAGGUGAAAUGUUCAAACUAUUGUUUUGUGGCAGUAAGCAUUGGCUUAUUUUGAUAUUUGGAUAUUGUGGUGAGCAUGCUACAUCAGAACCAUAGACAUUGACGCAGACAAAGAUAUUUGUGUCUUUCCACAGGGCCAGAAUUUAUUGUAUAGCAACAGAUUCAUAGAGUGUGGCAGUCGUCCUGUUCCAGUGGCUGGAGACUGGGACAGGCGUUUCCAAGUUCUUAGUGCCCCACUCAAAAGGAAAACACAGGUCCCAAGGGAACAUUAUCCAAAGCUAAGCAAGGUACAGCUCAGAUAUGCUAUCAAAAGUGACAGUGGGCCACACAAGUGAGAUAAUUCGGGGGUGUUCCUUUUAUGUGGGUUUGAGAGAGAAGAGCUUUGCUGCUAAGAGAGAGAGCAUGGGAGGUUGUCUGUUUUCAUUGACAGGCUUGGAUUAAAACAGCCUUUACUCACUGUCUAUGUGUCCCUUCCUACAAUGUAUCCAACUUUAAUAAUAUAUACUCUCCAUGAUGCCUAAGCAUGAGAUCAUAAGAGGGGACUCUCCCUAAAAGUUCACUCAGAGGACACAAUUUACUUCAUUGUGCAUGCAUGCAAAACUGGUUCAGACUGGAUCGGCCCAUUGUCUGUAGUUCCUGGAUACAUUUCAAGAUGUGUUUGGGUGGAAAUGGGGUGUUGUCAAGCAGUUACCAAUGGGAGUAGAUUAUUUCUGUUAUUUAAAGCAGAUAUAUGGACAUCCUGAUACAGGGGACUUCCAGAUUGCCAACAGGUUGCUAGAUUUCUUUUUCAGAAGGGCGUGUGUAUAGCCCAAGCCAACUGGAGUACCUGGUUGAUAAAUUAUUCCCUAUUUCCCAUUAUUUGCCUCAGAGGCACAGGCAAAAACAAUUUCUCUUAUUCCAAUAUUAAUUACUAAUUAACUCUCAGAUCACACAUUACACACAGUAGAUCUCUCUCAUCUCCCCCCAUACACACACAUUAUAAAAUGGUGAUAAAGGGUUAAGAUGUAUGCUAGUUACUUUUCUAUUGCUGUGAUAAAACACCAAGACCAAGGCAUAUUAUAAAAGAAAGGGUACGUUUAGGUUUGCCAUCCCAGAGGGCUAAGUAUCCAUCAGCCUUCCCUUCAGGAAGCUGUAGGCAUAACAGCUGGAGCAGGAAGCUGAGGGCUUAUAUGUGAACAUUUAGAUGCCUGUAAACUUUCAUUUUCACCCCUCAGAUAAUUAAAUAUUGAGAAAUCGGGCCUGGCACCACACAGGCGGUCAAUAGUUAGGAAAACAACUUCUGCCUUGGACCCUAUUCAUUCAAUAAUUGAUUAGUCAUUUUCGAUCAUUUCAAUGAAUUUGAUGUCUUUGCUUUACUUUAAAAAACAAAAGACCGUGGAGGGAGAUUUAAAAAAGAAAUAUGUGCCUGUGUAUCUCUGUGUGGGGAUAUCCAUGUGAGUUCAAUGAUGGAGAAGACCAGAAAAGGUUGUAGGAUACCCUAAAGCUGGAGUUACAGGCAGGUGGGACCCACCCUAUGUGAAUGCUGGGAAUUGAACUCCAAAAUAGCACUAUGCACUCUUACUCAUAGAACUCUCUUCCAGCCUUACAAUUUCCAUUUAGAUUGUGUGUGUGUGUGUAUGUGUGUGUGUGUGUGUGUGUGUGUUUAUUCAACAACAUGUAACAUUGACACCUGUGCAAAGUGGCCAUUUUGCCUUUUCCUGAGCUAAUGGUUUCAAAGUGAUUGUGAGACUGGUGGUGUGGGAGUUCUCCAGGGUUAGCCUCAACUAGUAGAGAGCUCAAGGAGCAAAAGGAGAGAAAAGGAUGGAACCAUUACUGAAGUUUUAAAGUCUUAAAGAAUCAAUUAAAAUCAAGCACUGUGGGAAAACCUUGCUAAUUAAGGUAGAUGUCUACCGUUGUCCAGACAGCCUUCUGGGCUUGGUGCAACAUGGAGGACUCCUUUUGCUAGCAGGGCUUCCCCUUCUCUGACCUUAACCUCCAUACACCCUAUACCUGCAGAAUAUCCAUAGCCUUAGUUAGAUAACAAGUUCAACUUCUUUUCUCCCAAUAGGAACGCGGUCAGCUAGCACCUGAGAUUCCCGGAGUGCUUGACAAUGCUAAGGAAGCGUUUUGGUAACUUAAGCCUUCAGCCAAUGACCUUUGCCCAUCUUGAAUAUUCCUACCCCGCUCGUCCCCAAAACUAUAUUAUAAUCCUCGAAUCAUCCCAAGUAAAGUUGAUCUGCCCCCUGAUGCUGGUCCCCAUGUCAUCAUUACUCACAGGCCUUCUGGAUCCUCAUAGUCUCUGUCCUAUCUGCGGACUGAUAUUCACCAAAUAUCCCUUGGGGUUGGGAGGGUCCCAAGGCACUUGGAAACUUUAGAGUGGCAACUGUCCUUAAAAAAAUGUCAACUGGGGAAAAGGCACCCUCUGCCUAGGCAGCAUUCUACCAGCACAUUCUCUGGAACAAUUUCCCCUUUGCAGUUUGGCAAAUGCUUGCCAGAGAGCCACUUUCUCAGAGGUGUGGAUGCUGCAUAAGAUAGAUGGAGCCUUCCCGAAGAACAUGAUGGAGAGAUCCAAAGAUACCCUGUGCUCCUGUGGGCACCGUCAGUGUGUACAGACCUCAGAGUGCCUGGGUUCAUCAUGUACACAUUAGAUGUGCUAUGAACUCUUAGCCAAAUUCAAUGCCAGUGUUUGGAAUGAAUCUGAAAAUGAGGAUUAGAAAUGUGGAACUAGUCUUGCUGUUCCUGGGGGAGAAAAUGUUUCAUAAAGCAACAAAAAUUAAAAUUCAUUAGUUCUCCUAAGUAGCCCAAGAACACAACUAAGAAUGAUCCCAAACUCACAUGAAAAUAUCACUUAUAAUUAAGUGACUGAGUAUUUAGGAAAAAAAGAAGCAAACAAGAAGCAAUCUUGAGUAUUUAUUUACCCCACUCUGUAUACCAAAUAUUUAAAUGUUUUUUUUAAAUCUACAAACAUUGUAGGGUACAAAAUCAAUCCAACUUCAUAUAUAAUAUUUUGUGCUAGAGUGAACUUUGUAAAUGGUAUAAGCCAGGAAUUCGUAAGGCACACCAAGAAGACAAGCUGGCCACCCAUCCAAUGAAGUCAACAUCUGUCUGAGAAAAGACUGUCAACAAAGCAAACCAACAUGCUUUGGGAGAGGGAAUUGUAAUAACAUGGCAGGAAAAACAACCAGGCUAAUUUCUUUGAUUUGUAAUGAGUUCAAAUAAAUAUUAUAGUCAAAGUUAGAUUAUUUAAACAAGAAAAGAGUUAGGGGGUACAUACAGGGUACCGAUGGCUGUGGAAAUGGAAGGCUUCCCCAAAUGCUGGCAAGUUUGUCUUCACCAUCUCACAUGCCAAGAAUUUCACUCUUGCCCCUCAGAGUGCACGUCCCUACUUCUUAGUUUUCUCAUGUUUGUUGCUGAUUAUUGAACAACAGAAGGAUGGGGAACACAUGUGUCUCUCUGUUUUUAAUUACGCCUAACUGCAAUGAUCGUAAUUAGCUUCGUUAUCUAAGCAUUGCUAAGCUUCCUCAGUUUCUCAAAUCAAGUCACACCAGCAAAUGAACAAGGAAACAGGUUUGUUCUCAGAGGGUUGAUGACUGAUCAGGACAUCAGGGCUCCUGCCUGAAGGACAGAGAGAUUAAGUUGUUACCUUCUGAAAGGUUCCUCUCUAAUCUCCAUUUUUCUGUCCUCAUGGUCCACCUCUGAAAUUCCCACAAUUGGUAGGGAGCUUCUCUCAGGAGGAGGAAUUAAUGUCCUUUAGAAGGUUCUGUUCACACAUUGAUAAAAAAAACUGGCUAUUCUCUCUCUCUCUCUCUCUCUCUCUCUCUCUCUCUCUCUCUCUCUCUCCACGAGAAAAGAGAGAGAACAUUGUUUACUCGCAUAUUUAAAUUGUAGAAUCCGAUGUCAGCUUCAGCAAUGGCUGCUCAAUUUUUUUCUUUGCUUUUAAAAUUUGUUUGUUUGUAUGAGACAGGGUUUUGCUAUGUACUACAAGCUGGGCUUAAACCAGUGGCAAUGGUAUCUCAGCCUCCCAAAUGCUGUGAUUACAGACUUGAGCCAGCAUUCCUGCAUGGAAUCCUACAUGUCUUUGUAUCUUAGAGAUCCUUCAAGGUGGACUUUUGGGGACUCUCUUUUUUGAAAAACCUAUGUCUUACAGGGUUUUUUCUAAACCUGUGUUUAGAUUUCACUUUAAUUUUUUAACCUGUGUUUAACUUUUUUCUCUAAUAAAUUCCAACAUUUUCCAAAACAACUUAUGGGCAUCUGGAACAUUUUAAGACACUCCUGGUCCACAUAGUGAGUGGUGGGUGCCACAGGCCAUUGGUCCAGAAACUCCCAACACCCUGCCGUGGGGAGUCUUCACAGGGAAUAGUGUAAGUGUAUUCUUGUACUUGGGAGUCCCUCUGAAGUGACAGCAGGUGGAAAAACCAUCUUGACCACCCUUCAACCUAGCUGUUCAUCAUAGAUAUGGCAUACAUGAUUUUUUAAAUGCAUUCAUUGUACAUUGUAUUUCAGUGUAGCCAUUUUCUUUUGCUGUAUCAUACAUUAGAAGCUGAAAACCACAUUCACUCUCUUCCUUGGGACACACAGGAGAUUGUCCCCAGGGCCCCCAUGAUGCCGAAAUUUAUGUGUGUUCAAGUUCUUGUGUAAAUGUGAUAGAAUUUGCUGGUUACUACACAUAGCCUCCUGGAGAGGGACCUUCAUCUCCAGAUGACUUACCAUGCCUCUUGUGUUUACUUAGGUGUCUACCAUAGUAACACAUAGCAAAGUCAGAACCGAUGCAUCUCACAGCUGUUCACACAGCUCUAAUCACCACAACGCCAGAGCCUCAGAAAGGGAGAGGGCCAGUGGACAGGCCUUAGAAUUUGACUAUUAAUGGGAUGUUAAACGGGUUUUGGGUAUGGGACUUGGGAAAAUUGGUUAUUCAAUAUAGACCUUUUGGGAGUGGCUUAUAAAAGAUAUCCCAGAGAAAUCUUGUACCCUUUACAUCCCUUGCCUAUGCAGCAAAAAGAAGGCCCAAUGACCCAGGAAGUGAGCCCCAAGAGACACUGACUUUAUAGGCACAAUGGUCUUAGACUCUGUACCCUUCCAAACUAUAAGAGGCACAUCCCUCUUCACAGGAUGGAAACACUGUCUUAUUAUACAUCAUGCUAUUUUCUUUGUACUGGAGUUAGUACACUAUACUGACUUGGUGGUUGGUUUAUUUUUCUUUUCUUUUUUCUUUCUUCUUUUCCUUUCUUUUUCUUUCUUUUCUUUUCUUUUCUUUUUCUUUUUUUGACAAGGUUCUGCUAUCUGCCCAAGGCAAAUUUUGAACCCUCCUGCCUUAGUCUCCUAAGUGUUGGACUGCAGAUGUCCAUUACCUUAUUGGCGGUUAAUUGAAAUUUUAAGUUUUAAUUUCCAAACACUAUAUGCAUAAUUACAAAAUACUUGUCUCAGAGAGGAAAGAGUGAUCCCAGCUAUAUUAAAAUUCAUUCUGAUAAAUAGAUGGCUCGAGUUAAAAUCUGCCCUUUGUAUUUAAUAUACUUGUUAAUACCCAUUAGCGCUGUCCCUGUGACAUUUCCAGUUACACACGUAUUGUGCCCUGCUUCCUCUUGCCCUCUCUUAUUGUUUCUCCCUGGGGUUCCCCUGCUUGCCCGUUUUCCAUGUCUGACUUAACUUUACAUAACACAGUACUCCCCCCCAUCCACCAACUUCUUUGCAAAUGACACGAGAUUAUUAUUCUUUAUGCUUGAAUGAAUAUGUGUAUAUUUACCUAUGUACAUGUAGAUUCAACAUAUAUUCCAUAAUUGCUUUGUCCAUUCCAAUGUCACCUAGGGUGCUUCUGUACUUUGUCUGUUGUGAAUAUCUCCACAGUAAGUGUGGCUGUCCUGCAUACUCAUGAGUACUCCAGAGUGUCCCUGAAUGGUACAACUGGAUUGGACGGUGGCCCUACUGAUUCUUGUUGAGGAGAGGACAGCUGUCAUGACUCUGGGGAGGUGGAAUCUCACAUGGUUUGGAACUGCACUUUUAAUGACUGAAGUCCUUGUGAGUGUUCACAGCUCCUACUAUAGCGAUCGAUCGAGGCAGUUGGACCACCGUGGGAGGGCUUCCGGUCACACUGAAGAGCCCGUUCCAGAAGGGGCUGGACUGCCAAGGAUCUGCAGCUGCUGUUGGAGCUGCCCCUGGUCAGGAGAGGGAAAAGCAGAACAACCCCUGGGGAAACACGAUAAAAACACGGAAAUUGUAGGAAAAUCACUAGCAGUUGUCUGGCUCUUUUUUCUGUGUCAACGGGCUUUUGUUUAAUGUUUUAGGUAUCUGAACGGCACCACGGAGGCUUUUGUUUGGUUUCCCUCUAAUUAAAAAUAGCCAGCGCUCCACAGUAUGGUUGUAACAGUAAAGAUGAGAGAAGAAAAUGAUAGGGGAAUUCUAAGCUAACAUAAACUCUCCUAUCCUGCACACAGUUCCUGGAAGAGAUUCCUCAUCAGCUUAAAAAGAUUUUUUUGGGGUGGGGGGUGCUUGUACUUAGUGAUCAAACACAUUUACAAUUUUCGGUUUUCUACACUAUGGGAUUGUUUUGCUAUGAGAGUCGUCUUGUGGUAAUUUUAAAAGGGAGUUUAAGCACGAGCCUGUUUUUCUCAAAUGUUCUAGUAACAUUUUGAAAAUUCUUUAUGCCCAAAUACAAUGUAAGAUUUGAUUUGGCUUGUAUAUGCACUCAGUCUAUUCUGGUUUAAUACUCAUUUGACUCAAUAGUCUCAUGGUUCAUGAUGUCCUAGGAAACUGUCCCCUGAAGCCAAGAGUUCCUCCAUCUGGGAAAUAAACGCAGGUGCAGAUC